rnacentral:lncRNA from 10 species
CUUUCAAUGGCCCGGCAUCAUCAUCGCUGUAUGCAGGCCUGACCUCAGGCAGAAGGGAGUGAGGCAGCAUGACAUAGGAUGAAGCAGAAAGGCACUGGGGUGAGUGGGCCGGCGUCUGAAUGCCCACUCUCUAGCUGUGUGAUCUUAGGGAUCAUGACUGCUUCCCAGACCUUAGUCUCAGGAUGCCACACCGGAAGAGCUGGACCCCACAUUUGAAGACAGAUGUCCCUGGCGGUGCCCGCCUGCUCUGUAAAGAGCUAGUCCCAGGCUCCCAUUGUGACCUAGCACCUCAACCUCUCCUGACCCUUUUGCCUAGGCCAGAUCCUGAGAUCGGAGAGUACAUACAUCUCCCUGGGGCUUGCUUUCCUCUCCCAUAAAAUUUAGGAGUUGGGGAUGAUCUUAUCCCUCUACCUAGACUGUAGACUCCUGGGAGCGGGAGGCAAGGCACUCACAAGCAAGGGCAUCAGAGUGACAUCAAGACACAAACAGCCAUGGAAUCUUGGGAACAGAUCAAGGAGUCCACCUCUUAAAAUAUUGUAAAAAAUAAAAUCUGAGUACGAAUGUUGGUGAAAAGGACCAAGGAUGGAUCAAUA